CAAAUCCAAAAACCCUCAUCCUGAUAAAUUCCAGUUUGAUCUUAACAGAACCAUUUUUCCAACCACAUUUUUCAAUAGAAUUAAUCAUAAUUUGCAAAGCACCCAGGGUAAGAAUAUUAAGGUCAUCAAAUUCGAAAAUUAUCUAAUGAAGAUACAAACACGAGAACGAUUCGAAACUAUUUAAAUGACAAAAUGGAUCGCUUUACUUUUAGAAAAAGAGAUGUUAAUGUCAUAACUUCCAGUUAAGAUGACAAAGUGCCAAACCACUUCUGAAAUACAAAAACAGGGAGGAUAGAAAGACAGGGAUGAUUCGAGACGAACAAGAAAGCAAAAAUGUUUCGCUAUUACAUUUAAGAAAAAAUGUGUUGUGAUGUUAAUGACAUACUCAACACUAAAGUUGACAAGUGCCAAAUCACAUGUGACAGAUCUAGUGAGAAUAAACAGGUCAGUAUGAUUGUGAUGGUUAAACUUCAGAUUUUUGCUACUAUUCUUAAGCAAAAGGUAUUAAUGUAGUAACUACUUCUAAAGAUGACCAAAAAUCUAAACACUUUUGAAAACCAAAACAAGAAGGAUAUGAAGACCGGUUCGAUUCGAAACAAUCACGGUGCAAAAAGUGUUGCUGUCACUUUUUAAAAAAGAUAUAUUAAUGAAAUACACAUCACUGAAGUUGACGAUGUUCCAAAACAUGACAUCCUGCUUAUGACAGAGUCAAAACAAGGAAAAAGUAAGACCAGGAUGAUUCGAGAGGAUAAAGAGGCAAAAAUGUUGUUAUCGCUAUUAAAAGAGGUUAAAAUGUAUUUUUAAAGCGUUGGAAACCAGUCCGAAUAGCAAAUUUAUAAAUUUGUUAUCUAAACGUUUUUUCUCUAUUCCGAUACACUUUUUAAUCACAUGUUGCAACGUUAAACAGUUUCAAGAGCUAUUUACACAGUGGACAUUGUUUUAAAUAUAUUAUAAUGCCGUGCAAACUUUCAGAAAUCCUUCUUUUAAUUUUUAUUUUCAACGAGUACUGUUCCCAGUUUUGUGUGAAAAUGGACCUAAUCGCAAAUUCCAGGUUGGGCGAAUUCUGGACUAUAGCCGUUCUGAGUUUAGUAAGUGUGACAGGAUAUGUGGCUUUGUUCGCCGAAGAUAUAUUGAUUGACAGCGAUUACACGUGGUGGGUUUGUUUGCUGAUUGUGCUCGCAGUAACGACGGGAGGCAAUUUCACGUGUGUCAAGUUCAUGUGCUACUCCCAGUACAGCAUGCCAGAUGAAAAGGAUAGAUACAAAAGGAUGCUGUUCACGAUCGUAGUUUUCAGGUGCUUAGGAGAGCUGUACGGAAGUCUGUCGAUAUCCUUAUUUUCGGAUGUAUCGGAUCCUGGGAGUAAAUUGAAUAAGACGGUGUUCAUAGUCGUUCAUAAAGUCAUCGGCACGGUGUUUAUUCUCAGCGGUUACCCAGUAUACAGACGGAGAGAAAUCAAGAGAAAUUACCUGUACAACUUCGUUACCGCCUCUUUUCACGCCUUGAAGAGGAGGAGGCUCUCUCUGAAUAUGGACAAUGGAGAUGAUCAGGAUAGACGGAAAAAUGAAAUCAUAAACAAAAGCGAUUACGAAAAAAUCAAAAUGAUCUAUCACGUUCUGCCUUUGUACGCACCCAUUGUGGUCAUUUUGGCUUUUAAGGAACAGAAGUUUACCACGUUUGUCUACCAGACUGAAGCCAUGUCAAAAACCAUCGCUGAAGGUGUGACCAUACACCCUUUGACCAUACUGUCGUUCUUCCCGUUUUUUACUUUACUGGUAGUUUUAAUUUUUCACGGGAUAGCGAUACCUAUGGCCCUUAGGUAUGGUUACAACUUCGGGGCUUCUCAUGCAAGGACGUUGUUGGCUUUUUCCUGUUUGGCGAUUUCCUUCGCGGCGGCGUCUAUCGUCGAAAUCCAAAUUGAAGAAAACCGCCCGCCGAUGUCGAAAACCGGAAUCGGAAUUCUCCUUAUAUACAAUGCGUUACCGUGUCAAAUAAAUAUCGGGUUCGAAGGUGGCCUGGGCACGCUGAAUCCUGUAGAACCGUUCUCUUUUCAGCACAGCUUUCAACAGCACGUUCAAAACGAACUUUUGAGGGUGAUGACUGUGCGAUCGACCUGCUUUGAUGAAAAAAUACGAGAGUCUUUCAACAUAAAACUUUCGGAAUUUAAAAGUUAUACCUACUGCCUCUUCUACAACAGGACCGGAGUGGGUAAAAUUUACCAUGUUGAACUGACGCAGCCAAACACGAAUUUUGGUAUCGACGCCAAACCGUGGCUUAGGAUCAUAUAUCAAAUGGUGUGGCCUACAAAGUUCACACUAUCAGGCAGAUUAAAGCUUUCUUUCAAUCUUGACCCUUUUCACCAUGAAAUAGAGCCCAGAGCCAUUCAUGAUUUUUCUGAAAGGUACAAUCUGUUUCUCAAUGAGAGUUUGGUACUUUCCGAUCUGUAUUUUGCUUCUGGAACUUUUUACACAAUAUUGAUUGUCCAUUUGGAAAACGAAGGCAUGUUCACACAUGUUUUAACGACAUCUAGCCCCAAAGAGGAAAAUAUACUUUAUCUUAUUCCACAAAUAUUUUUCAUGUCCGUGAUGGAUGGUUUAGUUUUAGCACCUGGUUUUAUCUAUAAUAAAUCUAAGGUCCCGCUAAAGUGGACUGAGGUGAUGAUUACCUUGUGGUUCAUUUCCGGUUUUAUUGGAAAUUGUUUGAUAGCUGUUUUUAUAAAAUAUGUGUUCGGAACUAGACAGUUAUAUUCUUUAGUAGCGGCAGUCAUAAGUAUUUCUUUGAGCAUUUCAAUUUUGGUGGCGAUGACGAUGACAUAUUACAAAGAAAAUUAUCCUGAUAAAGUGAAAAAAAAUAGUGCUCAUCUUUAUCUGCAAGUUGGAGACUAGACUCUCAAAAGAAAACAAAAGUGGCUUCCAUUCUAAAGUUGUAACUGUAAAACCUUUUUGGGGAACCAUUUGGUUAUACAACUACUGCGACAGGUAAACUGUCUCCAGUGCCAGUUCUGCUCGUUGAAUCUAUAAAUUAUUUCAACGGAACGAAAGAAUGACCAAAUAGUCAUUUCAAAACCCAGCUUGACAAGGAUGACAAACUCCAAAAAGAAUAACUUAAUAAUUUUAAAAUUUAUACAACUUAAGAAUCUUCCCAUAUAGGCAAGAUUGAAUUUUUUUUAGCUGUGUACAUAGUGAAUUGAAUAGUAGUAUUACAAUUCAGAAAAUUUGUAUGUACUUCUUAACAUAAAUAUACUUUCAACAGUACAGUAAA
rnacentral:misc_RNA from 1 species